rnacentral:rRNA from 1 species
GAUGAACGCUGGCGGCGUGCCUAAUACAUGCAAGUCGAGCGAACAGACGAGGAGCUUGCUCCUCUGACUUUAGCUGCGGACGGGUGAGUCACCCGUGGAUCACCUACCUAUAAUCCUGGGAUAACUUCGGGAAACCGGGGCUAAUACCGGAUUAUAUUUUGACCCUCAUGCUUCAUUAGCGAACGACGGUUUUUCUGUCACUUAUUGAUGGAUCCGCGCCGCAUUAGCUAGUUGUUAAUGUAACGAGCUACCCAGGCAACGAUGCGUAGCCGACCUCAGAGGGUGGUCGGCCACACUAGAACUGAGACAGGGUCCCGGCUUCUACGUGAGGCAGCAGUAGGGUACGUUACGCAAGAGGUGAAAGCCUGACGCAGCAACGCCGCGUGAGUGAUGAGGGUCUUGGGUGCGUAAAUCACUGUUAUUAGGGAAGAACAAAUGUGUAAGUACCUAUGCACGUCUUGACGGUACCUAAUCAGAAAGCCACGGCUAACUACGUG